CAACACUAUUUAGUCUACCAGAACGAAUAUCUUCGUCUACAUUAUAUCAAUGUUAUAUAGAAUAACAAAAUUUUCUUAUCAAUAUUCAAUCAGCAAACUAUCGAUAUGUGGUAUGAUUGCAAGUGAGUCAAGAACAAUUCACUAGAGACCACAUGACGUACAGCCUUGAACAAUGAGAAAAACUCAUACUGCAUAGUAAGCUGUUACCGGUCCCGACAUGAC
rnacentral:lncRNA from 1 species